GACUAUGUAGCCUCCCAAACCUCUGCAAAAUGAGCUUCAGGGGAAGAUCACUAGAGGCAUUCCUCAAUUCAAAGAAGACAAAAGCUAGGCAGAAGUUACCUGUGGAGGGCAAGACUCCUCCCGCCGUGGAAUUUUUCAGCUCCUCAUCCCAAUAGCUGGCCUGGAACCAAGUCAGUUCCUAGAUCAAGGUAUGAGGUUUGCUGAUAUCUUGCUAGAUGAAAACUUCACUGCUAAAAACAACAGCAUAAAAUAUGACCCAAGGGGUGAGGAUCCAAGAUGGCCGAAUAGAAACAGCUCCAGAGUGCAGUUCCCAGCAAGAACAGCACAGAGGCACGAGAACUUCGCAAAGCAUACACAAGCUUCAACAGCUGAAUCGACCAAGCAGAAGAAAGGAUAUGAGAGAUUGAAAAUCAAUUCAAUGAAAUAAAAAGAGAAGGCAAGAAUAGAGAAAAGAGUGAAAAGGAAUGAACAAAGCCUCCAAGAAAUAUGGGAUUGUGUGGAGAGAUCUAAUCUACGUUUGAUAGGUGCACCUGAAUGUGAUGGAGCGAAUGAAUCCAAGCUGGAAAACAUUCUUCAGGCUAUUACCCAUGAGAACUUCCCCAACCUAGCAAGGCAGGCCAACAUUCAACUCCAGGAAAUACAGAGAACACCACAAAGAUAUUCCUCAAAAAGAGCAACCCCAAGGCACAUAAUCAUCAGAUUCACCAGGGUUGAAAUGAAGGAAAAAAUGCUAAGGACAGCCUGAGAGAAAGGUUGAGUUACCCACAAAGGGAAGCCCAUCAGACUCACAGUGGAUCUCUCCAGAGAAACCCUACAAGCCAGAAGACAGUAGGGGUCAAUAUUCAACAUCCUUAAAGAAAAGAACCUUCAACCUAGAAUUUCAUAUCCAGCCAAACUAAGCUUCAUAAGCAAAGGAGUCUAAAAUCCUUUAUAGACAAUAUAGACAAACAAUUGCUGAGAGAUUUUGUCAUCACAAGUCUUGCCUUAUAAAAGCUCCUGAAAGAAGCACUAAACAAGGAAAGGAACAACCAGUCCCAGCCACUCCAAAAAUGUACCAAAUGGUAAAGAACAUCAACACAAUGAAGAAAAUGUGUCAACUAUUGGGCAAAACAUCCAGCUAGCAUCAAAAUGGCAGGAUCAAAUUCACACAUAACAAUAUUAACCUUAAAUGUAAAUAAAUGAGCUAAAUGUCCCA
rnacentral:lncRNA from 13 species